GGACCCGUGGCGAAAUGGUAUCGCGUCUGAUUCCAGCUUUGGAGCAUCCAGAAGAUUGCCGGUUCGAUUCCGGUCGGGUUCA